rnacentral:rRNA from 1 species
UACGUAGGGUGCGAGCGUUGUCCGGAAUCAUUGGGCGUAAAGAGCGCGUAGGCGGUCCGGUAAGUCCGCUGUGAAAGUCAAGGGCUCAACCCUUGAAUGCCGGUGGAUACUGUCGGGCUAGAGUCCGGAAGAGGCGAGUGGAAUUCCUGGUGUAGCGGUGAAAUGCGCAGAUAUCAGGAGGAACACCGAUGGCGAAGGCAGCUCGCUGGGACGGUACUGACGCUGAGGCGCGAAAGCGUGGGGAGCAAACAGG